AAGUCGUAACAAGGUUUCCGUAGGUGAACCUGCGGAAGGAUCAUUACCGAGUCGCGAGGUGGAUUAUAAGCCUCGACUCCCCACCCAUUGUGUAUCGAUUUGAAUCCUGGCCGGGAGACUGGCGGGAUCCAAUCAACUCUUUUUUCUUUUGUGUCCUACGGGAACGCAAAUGAAAACCCACAAAAAAAAAUUAAAACUUUCAACAACGGAUCUCUUGGUUCUG
rnacentral:misc_RNA from 1 species